rnacentral:lncRNA from 1 species
AUCAGCCUUAAUAACGAGAUUGGCUCUUGGAUGAACGAAGGCCGUAGAUCUAGAUUAGGGAUCUUAAAAAUCAAGGGUAGAAAUGUAGCCACCCUUCUACAAGCCUCCACUCAAUUGUAUAAGAGAGGCUUGGUUUUCCAAGCCCUCUCUCUCUCCUCUUUUUAGUGAAGGGCGGAGCCAUGCCAAAAUUUGGCCGAAAUCCUAAUCUUAAUUUUAUUUAGAUUUUAAUUCUCAUUGUGAACCUUGUGAUUGUAUAUGUAUGGAUUUUUAAUUGUGAAGGAUGGUCAUUAAGUUUUAAAAUAUGUUUCAUUGAAGUAGAUAUCUCCUCGGCCUUUCAAAUAUCCCAAGGGUUUUA